rnacentral:rRNA from 1 species
GACAGAGGAUGCAAGCGUUGUCCGGAUUUAUUGGGCGUAAAGGGCUCGUAGGCGGCGUGUCGCGUCGGGAGUGAAAGCCCGUUGCUUAACGGCGGGUUGGCUUUCGGUACGGGCAUGCUGGAGUGCGGCAGGGGAGACUGGAAUUCCUGGUGUAGCGGUGGAAUGCGCAGAUAUCAGGAGGAACACCUGCGGUGUAGACGGCUUUCUGGACCAUUGCUGACGCUGAGACACGAAAGCGUGGGUAGCAAACAGG